rnacentral:rRNA from 2 species
UGCAGUCGAGCGGAUGAAGAGAGCUUGCUCUCUGAUUCAGCGGCGGACGGGUGAGUAAUGCCUAGGAAUCUGCCUAGUAGUGGGGGACAACGUUUCGAAAGGAACGCUAAUACCGCAUACGUCCUACGGGAGAAAGUGGGGGAUCUUCGGACCUCACGCUAUUAGAUGAGCCUAGGUCGGAUUAGCUAGUUGGUAGGGUAACGGCCUACCAAGGCGACGAUCCGUAACUGGUCUGAGAGGAUGAUCAGUCACACUGGAACUGAGACACGGUCCAGACUCCUACGGGAGGCAGCAGUGGGGAAUAUUGGACAAUGGGCGAAAGCCUGAUCCAGCCAUGCCGCGUGUGUGAAGAAGGCCCUCGGGUCGUAAAGCACUUUAAGUUGGGAGGAAGGGCUCAUAGCGAAUACCUGUGAGUUUUGACGUUACCAACAGAAUAAGCACCGGCUAACUUCGUGCCAGCAGCCGCGGUAAUACGAAGGGUGCAAGCGUUAAUCGGAAUUACUGGGCGUAAAGCGCGCGUAGGUGGCUUGAUAAGUUGGAUGUGAAAUCCCCGGGCUCAACCUGGGAACUGCAUCCAAAACUGUCUGGCUAGAGUGUGGUAGAGGGUAGUGGAAUUUCCAGUGUAGCGGUGAAAUGCGUAGAUAUUGGAAGGAACACCAGUGGCGAAGGCGACUACCUGGACUAACACUGACACUGAGGUGCGAAAGCGUG